UUUUACUAUAAAACAGGUUUUUGGUUUGUUUGGCAUGUGCGCUGGCAGAGCGGUAGCCAUUUAUGGAAACUUUCCCGAAUUUCGUUUGCUGCUUGUUCGUUCAUGCAACUAAUUUUAUUCAGCUGUGCCCAGUUGUGACUCCCUAGAAGACCACAUUGCAACAGAUUCACAAACGGACACAGCCGGAGUGUAAAGGCAGGGGGUGGGGGACAGCAGAGCACCAGUGGAGGUCAUUACCAAGCUGGGGCUAGGAUUCCCUCGAUACGCCCUGCCUGCAGAGGUCAAAUCCAGGGAAGAUGAAUGGAGCCGCACCACCGAUGACCUCCGAGCAGCACUGUCUCAACUCUGGGCUCUGCUGCUCUGACCUGCGAGCACGGACACCAGGGAGGAGGGGGCCAUGAGAUUCGGACCACGCCACAGUGCACACGUGCAGUUUGCUGCACAGUAAAAUCUACAGUCUGGGAGAUGAACAGCGAGCGCUCUCUGUUUCCCCCCGACCGGCGCGGCGCUCCCCUGAAUCUCACAGCCGGAGCAGCGCCGAUCGGCUCUGACGCGCGUGACCUUUCUGAAACCUGUCUGCCUCGCGCUGUCUGGCUGCUCUGAGUGGGCCGAGGAGAUCACUGACAUGAGCGGCUAUAAACCAGGAAAUGAGAAAUGAAAUUGGGAGAAUCAGAAGGUGGGGAUUUCAUCACAGGCCCCAGCCGUAAUGUCCAAAGUCACAGCAUCCCGCUUAAUGGGCUCGCUCUCGUUCGCCCUUUGUUUGUGUGUACAAGCAGUUGGCAUAAAUUUAACUUGCACAUUUAUUACUAUUUUUCCUCUAUAAAACACAUUUAUCGAUGCUAUUUCAUGCAUUAUUAAUGCUCAAGAUGAAAAAAAUGUGGAGUGGAUUAAUAUUGAAAUAUCAAAUGCAUCUCCAGUGUAUUUUAUCACCAGUUGAUAAGACAUUACUUAGGUGGAACUUGCAUCCAUACGGCAAUUUCCAAAUGCAAACUUUUACAAUUUUAUAAAAACAUUGUCGUAUAUUUAAAAAUGAAAUGGAAGGGGAGACAAUAAAAGAAACAUAACGGGAGACUGACCUAGACUGUCAACGAGA